GGAGAGGUGCGAGAGUUGGCUUAAUCGGCACGACUGGAAAUCGUGUGUCUGCCUAAAAGCGGACCGUGGGUUCGAAUCCCACCCUCUCCGCCA
rnacentral:tRNA from 2 species